rnacentral:pre_miRNA from 1 species
GAUUUCAUUUGAAAAGUCAUCAACAACAAAAUUGUAUAAUUCAUCAAGAUCUAAAACUUUUAUUUUUUUUAUUUCUUCAUCCGACAAAGUGUUAGUAAAAUUGUUUACAAAUUUUACAUAUAUGUAUUAUAGUUUAUAAAACCAGAUAAGAGAUACGUCAAUUUUGUGAAUAAUGUUACUAUCACUUUGUCGAAUGAAGAAAUGAUCAAAAUAAAAGUUUUAGAUCUUGAUGAGUUAUUCAACUUUGUUGUUGAUAACUUUUUCAGUUGAAAUC